rnacentral:rRNA from 1 species
UAAGGAAUAUUGGUCAAUGGACGCAAGUCUGAACCAGCCAUGCCGCGUGAAGGAUGAAGGUCCUCUGGAUUGUAAACUUCUUUUAUCUGGGACGAAAACGGGAUUUUUAUCUCAAUUGACGGUACCAGAGGAAUAAGCACCGGCCAACUCCGUGCCAGCAGCCGCGGUAAUACGGAGGGUGCGAGCGUUAUCCGCACUUACUGGGUUCAAAGGGUGCGUAGGUGGGCUUAUAAGUCAGUGGUGAAAUCUCCGAGCUUAACUUGGAAACUGCCGUUGAUACUAUCGGUCGUGAAUUAUCUGGAGGUAAGCGGAAUAUGUCAUGUAGCGGUGAAAUGAUUAGAUAUGACAUAGAACACCAAUUGCGAAGGCAGCUGACUACAUAUAAAUUGACGCUG